UACGUAGGGUGCAAGCGUUGCCCGGAUUUAUUGGGCGUAAAGGGCUCGUAGGCGGCUCAGUAAGUCGGGUGUGAAACCUCCAGGCUCAACCUGGAGACGCCACUCGAUACUGCUGUGGCUAGAGUCCGGUAGGGGAGCAUGGAAUUCCUGGUGUAGCGGUGAAAUGCGCAGAUAUCAGGAGGAACACCAGUGGCGAAGGCGGUGCUCUGGGCCGGAACUGACGCUGAUGAGCGAAAGCGUGGGGAGCAAACAGG
rnacentral:rRNA from 1 species